rnacentral:misc_RNA from 1 species
UGGCAUGUUACAAAAAACUAGAAUAUCUGACACCAGAUUGGGGAAUGUUAUCCUAGAGAAUUAACUUGAGUCAGCAUAGAAAAGGUUCAAUAGUCCAGGGAAGAAUAAUCUCCUGAUGGAGAUGGACCCUUUUCUUCCAAUACAAUGCAAAUUAGAUAAGGUUUUCAUGGUACGUACGUUGCCAAUUCAUUCUUAGACAUUACUGCGAGA